UGACUGCCGGAAACCACUGAACCAUUGGUUGGCGAGUAGUUUCUGGCAGUCACUGA
ensembl:miRNA